CAGCAGCCGCGGUAAUACGUAGGUCCCGAGCGUUGUCCGGAUUUAUUGGGCGUAAAGGGAGCGCAGGCGGUUUAGUAAGUCUGAAGUUAAAGGCAUUGGCUCAACCAAUGUAUGCUUUGGAAACUGUUAGACUUGAGUGCAGAAGGGGAGAGUGGAAUUCCAUGUGUAGCGGUGAAAUGCGUAGAUAUAUGGAGGAACACCGGUGGCGAAAGCGGCUCUCUGGUCUGUCACUGACGCUGAGGCUCGAAAGCGUGGGUAGCGAACAGGAUUAGAUACCCCGGUAGUCCCUGUCUCUUAUACA
rnacentral:rRNA from 1 species